CCACCAUACCUCUCCUCCCUUUUCCCUGCAUUUAUUUCACUUCUCAUUUCUGUUCCAAGUUUGUAAGAUCUACCCAUGCUCUCUUCAUUUGUGCAUAUUUCUCCAGAUCUCAGUUCCAAAAUGCGUGAAAUCAUUCGUAUUCAAGGUGGACAAUGUGGUAACCAAAUUGGUGCCAUGUUUUGGGAAGGUUUUUGUGCCAAGCCCGACAUUGAUUCUACCCGUCGUUACAAUGGUGAUUCUGAUCUCUACAUGAGAGAAUUAAUGUGUAUUACAAUGAGGUUAGUAGUGGAAGAUUUAUUCCUAUGGAUGUUAUUAUGGAUUCAGAGCACCAUGGAAAAUAUUAGAUCUGGUCCUUAUGGACGGACAUUCCAUCAUGAUUACUUUGUUUUUGGACAAGCUGGUGCUGGUAACAAUUGGGCUAAUGUACAUUACACCAAAGGUGCUAAAUAGAUUGAUGUCGUUCUCGAUCUUGUUAGUAAGGAAGUCGAAAAUUUUGACUGCCUUCAAGGAUUUCAAUUGUGCCAUUCAUAGGGUGGGGGAAGAGGUUUUUUAUGGGAACACUUCUGAUCUUAAAGAUCAGAGAAGAAUACCUGGAUAGAAUAAUGCUUAUCUUCUCCGUUUUCACUUCACUAAGGUUUCUGACAUUGUUGUUGAGCCUUAUAAUGCUACCUUGGCCGUGCAUCAUCAAUAAUUGGUUAAAAAUGCCGAAGAGUGUGUGCUUCUUGAUAAUGAGGUUCUAUAUUACAUCUUCUUCAGAACCCUAAAGUUCAUCACCCCAAGCUGUAUAAGAGGUGAGAAUUGAAUCAAGACUACUUGAAAGCUAAAUGUCGCCACAUAUUUUGGAAGAAACUCCACGUAUUUGUCUUACUUUAAGGAGUGAUAUUUAGUAAUCAAGUAUAUGACAUAUU